rnacentral:misc_RNA from 1 species
UAAUAAGUGUUUUAUGGCACUUUUUAAAUCCAUAUCCACCUUGUGUGCAAUGACAGUCGAUCUUCUUCAUGGAGAUCGACCAAACAUCAACCUUUAUCUUUUAACUCUUUGUCUGAAAAGUAUUAUGAAUAAACAAUUCAAAAUA